rnacentral:rRNA from 1 species
GACGAACCACACAAACGUUAUUCGGAAUUACUGGGCUUAAAGGGUGCGUAGGCGGCGCGGUAAGUCGGGUGUGAAAUCUCGGAGCUUAACUCCGAAACUGCAUUCGAUACUGCCGUGCUUGAGGACUGGAGAGGAGACUGGAAUUUACGGUGUAGCGGUGAAAUGCGUAGAUAUCGUAAGGAAGACCAGUGGCGAAGGCGGGUCUCUGGACAGUUCCUGACGCUGAGGCACGAAGGUCAGGGGAGCAAACGGG